GCUUAUACUCCUUUCCACGCUUUGAGCAUUCGGGAGAGAAAAAUAUUCGAAGCACGGCAAAAGCUACUGAGCAAGAUGGAAGACUUGAUGAGGCAGGUUGCUGCUGAGAGGGAAACUGGUAAUAUAGAGAGAAUAGCUUCCACUGGAUACUUGGUGUAAUGCACUUGUCCUUUUAUUAUUGAAUAUGCCUCUAAAUCAUAGAGUGUGUGUCCGUGCAUGUGCGUGUGUGCGUGCGUGCAUUUGUACUGCAUGAUUGGCAGGAGACCUUUCCUCCAACAAGGCUCUUGCCAGAAAUAAAAGCCUACCAGAGGAAACACAAGAGCACAGGAAACCAGUGUUAAAGUUCUGCUUUCACUGCGGUCGCUCAGUGUCUGUGAAUCUGACCCUGGGCAGGCGCUGCAACAAGGUCUCCUACUGCUCCAGGGCCUGCAAGCUCAACUCCUGGGAAGAAAGACACAAGAAAGAGAGCGUCCAGGUAUCAGCAUCUGUUGACAGUGCCCAGAAAAGUGCUGUGUCAAAAACCCAACGAAGUCCCAGGGCUUUGUCUGCCAUCUUGAAAUCCAAAACAGCCCCCAAGCCACUGAGUGUCCAGUUCAAAUCCCAGAGAGAACUAAAGCUGUUGAGCAAGGCAGAGAAAAAGUU
ensembl:lncRNA